rnacentral:rRNA from 1 species
CCCUUAGACGUUCUGGGCCGCACGCGCGCUACACUGACGGAGCCAGCGAGUAUAAACCUUGGCCGAGAGGUCUGGGAAAUCUUGUGAAACUCCGUCGUGCUGGGGAUAGAGCAUUGUAAUUAUUGCUCUUCAACGAGGAAUUCCUAGUAAGCGCAAGUCAUCAGCUUGCGUUGAUUACGUCCCUGCCCUUUGUACACACCGCCCGUCGCUACUACCUAUUGAAUGGCUUAGUGAGGCUUCCGGAUUGGUUUAGAGAAGGGGGCAACUCCAUCUUGGAACCGAGAAGCUAGUCAAACUUGGUCAUUUAGAGGAAGUAAAAGUCGUAACA